ACGCUCGACACCUACGGGGGCAGCAGUGGGGAAUAUUGCACAAUGGGGGAAACCCUGAUGCAGCGACGCCGCGUGAGCGAAGAAGUAUUUCGGUAUGUAAAGCUCUAUCAGCAGGGAAGAAACUGACGGUACCUGACUAAGAAGCACCGGCUAAAUACGUGCCAGCACGCCGGUGGUAAUCUGAGGCGGGCGUGGACGAAGGC
rnacentral:rRNA from 1 species